rnacentral:rRNA from 1 species
GACGAACGCUGGCGGCGUGCCUAAUACAUGCAAGUCGAACGCAGUGGGGACGGGUGAGUAACACGUGGGUAACCUCCCAUCAGAGGGGAUAACACUUGGAAUCAGGUGCUAAACCGAUACUGAUGGAUGGACCCGCGGUGCAUUAGCUAGUUGGUGAGGUAACGGCUAACCAAGGCCACGAUGCAUAGCCGAGCUGAGGGGGUGGUCGGCCGAACUGUGACUGAGACACGGCCCAUACUCCUACGGGAGGCAGCAGUAGGGAAUCUUCGGCAAUGGACGAAAGUCUGACCGGGCAACGCCGCUUGAGUGAAGAAGGUUUUCGGAUCGUAAAACUCUGUUGUUAGAGAAGCGGUAUCUAACCGGAAAGCCACGGCUAACUACGUGCCAGCAGCCGCGGUAGUAC